AAUCAACGCUGGCGGCGUGCCUCAGACAUGCAAGUCGAACGCGAAAUUUCCCUUCGGGGAGAAAGUAGAGUGGCGCACGGGUGAGUAACACGUAGGUAAUUUGCCUUUGGGUGGGGAAUAACUCAGGGAAACUUGAGCUAAUACCGCAUAAUGCAGCGGCUCGACAUCGAGACAGUUGUUAAAGCGGGGGAUUGGAGCAAUCCGACCUCGCGCCUAAAGAGAAGCCUGCGGCAGAUUAGCUAGUUGGUAAGGUAAUGGCUUACCAAGGCGACGAUCUGUAACCGGCCUGAGAGGGCGGUCGGUCACACUGACACUGACAUACGGGUCAGACUCCUACGGGAGGCAGCAGUCGGGAA
rnacentral:rRNA from 1 species